UACGUAGGGGGCAAGCGUUGUCCGGAAUCAUUGGGCGUAAAGCGCGUGUAGGCGGCCCGGUAAGUCCGCUGUGAAAGUCCAGGGCUCAACCCUGGAAUGCCGGUGGAUACUGUCGGGCUCGAGUCCGGAAGAGGCGAGUGGAAUUCCUGGUGUAGCGGUGAAUGCGCAGAUAUCAGGAGGAACACCAAUGGCGAAGGCAGCUCGCUGGGACGGUACUGACGCUGAGACGCGAAAGCGUGGGGAGCGAACAGG
rnacentral:rRNA from 1 species